AGCCCCAGGCUGGGGGCCAGAAGGUCACCAGCACCACGGGCCGGGAGUGGACUUCACAGACUCAAGGCGAGCGCUGCUGGGGGGCUGAAGUCAGCCUGUGUUCCGGAGCCCAGGGCCCGGGCCCACUGCUGCUCACCCUUGGGAAGGACUGGGCCUCUCGAAUCGGAUCGCAAGCCGGUGCUUUCACCUCGGCCUCCAAGCUGGGCAGGUGGGCGGUGGUCUCGCUGGGGAGCGGCCGGCAUUACCUGCCUGGACUCAGCCCCACGAGCGGAGGAGGUAUUCGUAGCUGAGGAAGGUGACGGCGUUGACAGGAAAGGCGCGGGCGCUGUUGAUCGUCAGCCCCCGGAAGAAGACCCCCAGGCCUUCCUGCCGGGCGCUGCUUACCAUGCAGUCCAGCACCCCCCGAUACGCCCUGCGCUUCAGCCCAGCCAUCUGCAGCCGGGACUUGAUCACAUCCAAGGGCGUGGCUACGGCCCAGGAGGCGAUGCCUGCAAAGCCCCCUGCCACCAGCACCGUGGCUGGGCCUGGGGUAGAGGAAUCCCAGACGGGUGUCAGACCCCAAGGAGCAAGGCACCCUCCCCCCCCAUCCCCAGCGUCCCUCCCCAUCCUCCGGGCAAGGGCCAGCUCCCCUCCCCCGCUCCCCCGUCCUUCCCCCCCCUCCUCACGCCAGUUCACUUACUGGGGUCCUGGCCGUCCCGCGUCGACUGGCGGCAGAGCCACUCAUACGUGACAAAAUAGAUCCCCAGUGUGGGGGUGUCCCUCAGCGUCAGGGCCCAGGCUCCCCGGAACAGCCCCCGGGGCCCCUCCUCCUGGAAGAUGGAGACCGCACAGUGCACAGGCCCCCGGUACCGGGGCGGGGGGCUGCCCGGAGGCCGCGCCCUUGGCUCCGUCUGGUUUUGUAGCCGGACUUUGAUGAGGUCAAAAGGGGCCAAGCAGUAGACCUGACACCUCUCAGAGGCCCCUGACGUGGUCAAGUGCUGGGCCAGCCUUUCCUGCCUCCUGAAAACCACCAACCACUUGUGUCCCAAGGAAGGGACAGAGCCCUGCCAGGGGGCAAGAAAGCUGGUGCUGGCCACCCGGAGGCCUCCUAUGCCAAAGCCCCCAAGAAGCAAGACACCCACCGACUCAUGGCGGUAAGUCUUCACCAUACAAUCGAUGAUGCCCCGGUAUGUGGUCUGGGUCUGUAGCCGCACCUGGAUGAGGAGGACAGAGCAGGCAGCCCAGCAGGGAUGGGCAGAGACGGCUCUAGCCCAGCUCCUCCGUCUGCCCAGCAGGAUGCCAGCAGGGCAGGACUCAUAGGACAGACCCCCCUCUCAAGGCAUCCUGACUGUUGGUUCAGGUCGUAGCCUUUAUUCCUUGAGUGCGUCCCCUCGACUCACCUUUACAGUGUCAAAAGGGUGUCCCAGGACCAAACCCAGAGCUCCUGUGGGAUAAGAAGAUGGUAUGAGUGAGGCCCCCUGCGCCAUGCUGAGGAAGCAGGUGCCUAGAGGGAAGGGGAAUUCAGGGGGGAGAAAAUGGGGCAGAGCCCUACCUGCCAGACUCCAAAGAAACUCCAGCUGUCCCCUUUGCAACCUCCUCCACACCAGGUACUGGGUGAGGCAGGCAUGGGGACGUGGGGACAUGGGGACAAUCAGAGAGAGCCCUGGCCCCACCUGGAGGACACAGGCCGAAGGGAGGAGCCAACCACAGACACCACGUCCUCAUAGCGUCUAACACUGCCUGUCUUGCCUAUUUAACCGUGGAGCGGUGGGAUGGGUUCUCCGGUGCUUCCGCCUCGCUGCCGGCCUGACUCCUUCCCUCUUGCCUUCCACUCACUACUGCCGUGGAGUAUGUGGCCUCGAUCCAGACGGGGCCCUGCUCUCCCCGCCUCCACCCCCUCAGCCAGCAGUACGGAGCUGGGAGCCCUUAGGACAGUCGUGCUGACACCAGGGGAGGAGGGUCCCGGCCCCCAGGCCAUCUCCCCUGUGUAGCAGGUGCAGGUUCCGGAGGCAGAACCUUCUCAGGAGGCAGGUUCGAAACGUCCCUCUCUUUUCUUCUGAGAGAAGUGUCACCCAGAAGCUGGGCUGGGUCCCCAGCACAGCAGGCCUCAGCGACAGGGCCUGCAGCCCACGGCUGGGUAGUGCAGAGGCCCAAAGGGGAAUGCAGGACAGCUGCUGGGGUCAAAGGUGAACUUCCUUUCUGAGCCCCCCAGGGUGGGCCUAGGGAAGCGGGGUUCCUGGUGCAGGUCUGCAGGCGCAGGUGAGUCUGGGGGAGUGCUCGCCUUGGCCCUGGAGGCGAGGGCAGCUCGGCUUCCUCUCC